GUACUUGCUUCGGCAGUAUAUAUACUAAAAUCGGAACGAUAUAGAGAAGAUUAGCAUGGCCUCGCAAGGAAAACACGCAAAACAGAGAAGCGUUUCACAUUUUU